AGAUUCAGAUAUAAUGGGUCCAGUGUGAGUCUCAGACCUCUAGAUUUCAUUAAUGCCCUCCAUGUUAUUCAAAAGCACAACCAAGGUAGAGAAUACUAUCUAAACAUUAGGGGCAAAUGUUCUAUUAAGAGAAUAUUUAGGUUUACAAAGGCAGGCAAUGCAGAAUUGUUUCAGAUUGCCAUUCAGGGAUGUCUCCAAUAAUAAGAUGUUGUUUAGAGGCAUCAUUCAGCAAGUUCAGUGCUUAACAUAAUUACACUCCCUAAUCCUUCCCAAAAUUGCCAUCUGACCCAUGUCUUAAAUCAGGGGUAAGCAAACUACAGUCCACUGUCUGCUUUUGUAUGGCCUGGGAUCUAGGAAUGGUUUCUUAAAUGGCUGAAAAAAAUUUUAAAAAUGAUAUUAGUAACAUAAUCUGGACAAAACUACAAUUCAAAAAGAUAUGAGCACCUGUAUAUUCAUAGCAUCACUAUUUACAAUAGCCAAGACAUGGAAACAACCUAAAUGUCCAUCAAUAGAUAAAUGAAUUAAGAAUAUGUGGUACAUAUACACAAUGGAAUACUACUCAGCCAUUAAAAUGAAUGAAAUAAUGCCAUUUACUUCACCAUGGGUGGAACUAGAGAUUUUCAUACUAAGUGAAGUAAGUCAGAAAGAGAAAGACAAAUACUAUAUGAUAUCACUUACAUUUGGGAUCUAAAAUAUGGCACAAAUGAACAUAUCUACAAACGGAAGCAGACUCACAGACAUAGAGGCCAGAUUUAUAGUUGCCAAGAGGGAGGGAGGAGGGCCUGGGAUGGAACAUGAGUUUGGGGUUAGUAGAUGCAAACUAUUCCAUUUAUAAUGGGUAAGCAAUGAAGUCUCACUGUACAGCAUAAGGAACUAUAUCUAGUCUCUUAGGAUAGAACAUAAUGGAAGAUAAUAUGAAAAAAAAGAAUGUAUAUAUAAAUACGUAUGACUGGGUCACUUUGAUGUAUAGCAAAAAUUGGCAGAAGAUUGCAAAUCAACUAUAUUCUAAAAAAAUAUUAGUCAUAUCAAAAUCACAAGAACUUCAAAUUUCACUGUCUACAAAUAAAAUUUUUUUGAAAAUAGCCAUGCCUGUUCAUUUAUAUAGUGCCUGUGAUUGCCUUUAUACUGAGAGGGCAGAGUUGAAUCAUUGUAACAGGAACUGUGUGGACUGCCCAGAAUAUUUACUAUCUGACCCUUUACAGAAAACCUUUGCCAACCCUCAUCUUGGAGGGUGCAGGCUAUUAUGUGAAAAGACUAACAAAUGUAAUAAACUACUUCAAAGUCUCGUUGGGUUAACCCAAAUGUUUACCACUCUCUAAUGUUACAGGUUCCUUCCAUGUGGCAUUAAGAUUCUUAAACUUUUUGUGCUUCAGACCCUUUGAGCAGUCUGAUGGAGUCUGUCAACCCUUUUUCAAGAUAAUAGUUUUUAAAUACAUAAAACAAAAUACACAGGAUUUAAGAAAAUUAUCCCAUAAUCCAAUAAUCUAAAUAUUUUUGAAAUGUGCCAAUUAUAUAUGUUCUUCUCUACUAAAGAAUUAAGUAACAAAAUCUAUCCACAGGUUUAAUAACUAUCAUAAUUUUAAAACAGUAAUAAGUGUAAAAAAAUUUGAAAUGUCUGUAGCAACUGCAACAUGAGAUGAAAAAUCUGUGCUUUCUUGAGAUGACCAAGUCAUGGACAGUGUUUAAAUCAUUAGGGUUAUUUAUCAACAUUCAUAAUAGGAAAUAAUGCUAAAUUUAAAUUAAGAGUUUCAUGAAAACAGAGAUGUAAUGUUUUUCUAGCCAAGCUCAUGUAUUCUUGAACUUUGUCUAUAAAUCAGACAUCCAUGUACUCAAGGUUAAAAAUUCUUGAGAGAAUUUCUGGGCCCACAGAAACUCCCAUUUGAGCUUCUGCUUCCCACCAGUUGUCAGGAAGAGAGAGUAAGCACAGGACAGUCCUGGAAGUGAUAGAAAAUGCAACAGCCCACAUUCCAUGAAGCAGAGCUCUUGUUUAUGGAUCACCUACCUGCAAAGAAGGCUGGGAAAUGCAGUCCCAUUCUGGCAAGAAGAAACUCAUUAGGUGAACCCUCAGCUGUUCUGUACCACAGCAUCUUAAGACCACCUUCUCACUGCCCUCAUAUGGACAAUAGAGAGAAUGAGAUUCCUGGUAUCUCUUCUGAGAAGGACGCUAAUCCUACGGGUUCAGGGCCCCAUUCUUAGGACCUCAGAUAAACUUAAUUACUCUGCAGAGGCCCCAUCUCCAUAUGCAGUCACAAUGGGUGUUAGUCUUUUAACAAAUGAAUUUUGGGAAAACAUUUCAGUCCGUAGCAGAAGCCGUGCUAAGUUCUUCUUUAAGACUAAGAGAAAAGAGGAUGUUUUGUUCAAAAUCUUUCUGGGGGCUUGAUCUCAAUAUGGUAAAUAGUUCCACAUUUUUCCAUUUUCAUGUUUUAUCCAGAAGCAGCAGAGUAUUACAUUAAUUGACUUGUCUUAUUAAUUCAGUAAGCGGCUUCCAGGAUGAAAUGCUUAGCUAUGCUUGCUUGUUUGGGUCCUUUUUUGGUUGUUGGGAGAAAGCUUCAAGGCUCAAACCAUUCUGCUUUUUCACAGUCACUGAAAAUGUUUAUGCACUGGUGAAGAUUUGCCACAUUUGGAAUUACAACAAAUUGUUAGUUUUUCAUUAUAUUAUAAUUUAAUUCAUACUUUUUAGUAUGAUAAGAAAAUUUUGAGUAGUUCACAUAUUGUAGUAGGAUAUUUUUUCAUAGAUAGUUAAUACUGUGUUUUAGCAUUUAUCUUGAGGGAAAUUCAGUGCAUCAAAUUUGGCAGUUUCAGUUAAAGCCACAGGAAACUCUCAUAAGACAAUGCUAACUUUCUAGCCUAAAACAGUGGAAUGUGGACUUUAAUCAAACACUUUUUCGAAAAUGAAAUUAGGAACUCAACUGAAUAGAAAGUGAAAACUCUGUACAAAUAUAGGAAAGAAAAUCUAGGAGUUCCCAUCAUGGCUCAGUGGUUAGCGAAUCCGACUAGAAACCAUGAGGUUGUGGGUUCAAUCCCUGGCCUUGCUCAGUGAGUUGAGGAUCUGUUUUUGCCAUGAGCUGUGGUGUAGGUUGCUGAUGUGGCUCGGAUCCCACGUUGCUGUGGCUCUGGCAUAAGCCAGUGGCUACAGCUCCGAUUAGACCCCUAGCCUGGGAACCUCCAUAUGCUGUGGGAGUGGCCCUAGAAAAAGGCAAAAAGACAAUAAAUAAAUAAAUAAUUAAUUAAUUAAAAUAAAUCUUGAUAGUGACUUUUUUAAAGGCCUCCCCAGACUUAUUAUUGGUUUUCUUUUGCCCCAAAUCCUUGGGUACAGUACUGGAACAGUGCAGAUGGGUGCCUAAUGUGUGUUUUUAAUUAGAUUUAUAUUGACAAUGAUAAAUAUGCUAUUUUGUGAAACCAUGUGGAAUAGAUACUAAAGCAUGGUAAAGGGAUGUUUUAUACAGUUAUGAGCAAUUUAGACACUAAUCUCAAGGACAAUUUUAAAUUUAUAUUAUUAUUAAAAUCUAAACAGCAUUUUAAAGUGAAAAUGAAGAUAAACUCCUCUCUCCACAAGGACACAGAUGUGUAUGUGAUUUGCUUUGCUUCUUUGCAAAAGGCUGUUGAACAACAGGUUCUUGCAAAAAUCUAAGGUUUAAAUGUUUAUUUUACACUGUAUUUGAUAUAUUGAGCCUAUAAAGCAGCUCAUACCUAGACAAGUGGGUUUAAUAUGAAUAAAUAUUCAUGGACCAAUACCCACUUAAGCCUGGAACAAAAUGUGAAAGUAACCAAAUAUUAUUUAUUAUAAGAUUUUCUCUGGUGUCUUUUACCAAAACUUGAUGCAAAUCAAAGGUUAAUGCAAUGCAUUAGGUAAAAGGGUUUUUAUUGCACAGAAUUGACUUAACAGGUUUUCCAAUAUUAAUAGUAGAAGAACUGAUAGUGAUGAAAAAUGUAAAGUUGGUAGCUUGGACUUGUAAAUCUUGUGUGAUUUUUCUUAAGGCCUGCUCUUUUAGUCCAAGACAUUCACAUACCACUUCCUUGCUUCCACACAGAGAAUAGCAAAGGAACCAGAAACACACGAAUCUAUGAAUUCAUUUAUUCCUGUGAACAUUUAGUUAUUCAUUCAUUCAAAAUUCAUUCACUUUUUUUGCAAAUAUUAUUUGAAUACUUGCUACACACCAAGCGUUUCCCCAUUCAUUUAUUUCAUCGCACAUAAGAUUUGCCCAUGCAUUUCAGUAAUAUAUUCCU
rnacentral:lncRNA from 1 species